UUUUCAAUUUUUAUCAGUGUAUUCUUUGACGUCUUUGACAGUUUCUGGAAAGUUCUGUAGCUGUACGCAUUUUUUUGCAUCUCCGAGCAUUUCGUGUUAUUUUAUAGUGUGACAGAUGCAGGCAGCCCCCGAAAGAGCCCCAAUGUGUAAAAGUUGCCGUACACAGCUGUUUUCAGAAGGUUUAGCACAUGAAUACAACCCAGAGGGGGGCUCCGGGAAUACCCUUCGUGUUCCAGAGUCCUAAAUGGUCUACCCGGAAACGUGAUUUUGCCCAAAGAAACGCAAAAUACCAAAGCUACCGGGGGCUUGGAAAAUGCCGGAAUGAGGUUAUGUUCAUUCAUGGUGAAGUCAACGACCGACUACAGAAGGCUAACUUGCAGGGAAUUUCGCAGAAUUCGGGAAUCUCUAUAGAUUGACACCAUCAUGCUUCACAUCAUCUACAUUUUUACAGAGCCAUGCGCUGCGCAUCCCUUUUUAAUAGUGAACCCGGCCUUAGGAUUGUCUUCCUCGUCAAUGAUCUCAUCAACUACAGCGAACUUUGUGAGCGCCGCUAAAGAUGCACCAGCCAGCAACUACAAUUACCUUUAACACAACAAACAAGACAAAUUUUUGUAAAAAAUUACUUUUGUUAUACUAAAAUUUUUUUUGUGGGGAUGAAACCUGACUGAAAGACAAAUCUUUGUUAAGAAUUACUUUCAAUACUUUUAUUUAUUUUUUGCGGGGGCGCAACCUGAUUAAAAAAUUAAUUUU